AUGUUACUGAUUAUCAUGACACUGUCAUAACAUGAGGUGCCAGGAGAUUGGAAGUUAGCAGUUAAAUUUCUAACAGAUAGGAUAUGUUAAUUUCAAUAGUAUUUUACCUUUUGAAUGGACAUAUUAUAUGGAACUGUAACACAGAGAAGCUGACUUAAAAGAAAUAUACUUUGUAUGUUGUGUGCUGAUAGAGACUGCCAGAGUCAAGGACUUUUAUAAAUGUUAAAUUCAAACAAUUAUCAUAGACACAGGAAAUAAAAAAACAUAUCUUU